GCUUUAAUAAUUUAAAAUAAAAUAUUGAUUUUGUAAAUCAAACAUAAGGAAACUUUUAAAGCU
rnacentral:tRNA from 1 species